GACGAACGCUGGCGGCGUGCUUAACACAUGCAAGUCGUACGGUAAGGCCCUUUCGGGGGUCCACGAGUGGCGAACGGGUGAGUAACACGUGAGUAACCUGCCCACAACUUUGGGAUAACGCUAGGAAACUGGUGCUAAUACUGGAUAUGUGCUCCUGCUGCAUGGUGGGGGUUGGAAAGCUCCGGCGGUUGUGGAUGGACUCGCGGCCUAUCAGCUUGUUGGUGGGGUAGUGGCCUACCAAGGCGGCGACGGGUAGCCGGCCUGAGAGGGUGACCGGCCACAGUGGGACUGAGAUACGGCCCAGACUCCUACGGGAGGCAGCAGGGGGGAAUAUUGCACAAUGGGCGCAAGCCUGAUGCAGCAACGCCGCGUGCGGGAUGACGGCCUUCGGGUUGUAAACCGCUUUCAGCAGGGACGAAGCUUUUUGUGACGGUACCUGCAGAAGAAGCACCGGCUAACUACGUG
rnacentral:rRNA from 1 species